rnacentral:misc_RNA from 1 species
UCCGGCUUGUCACCGGCAGUCUCAUUAGAGUGCCCAACUGAAUGUAGCAACUAAUGAUAAGGGUUGCGCUCGUUGCGGGACUUAACCCAACAUCUCACGACACGAGCUGACGACAGCCAUGCAGCACCUGUGCUCUUCCCGGCCGAACCGAAGAACCUGAUCUCUCAGGCUCAUAGAAGGCAUGUCAAAGGCUGGUAAGGUUCUGCGCGUAGCUUCGAAUUAAACCACAUCCUCCACCGCUUGUGCGGGUCCCCGUCAAUUCCUUUGAGUUUUAAUCUUGCGACCGUACUCCCCAGGCGGAAUGCUUCAUGCGUGAGCGUCGGCACUGACUGUGACCAGCCAACACCUAGCAUUCAUCGUUUAGGGCGUGGACUAC